rnacentral:rRNA from 1 species
GAUGAACGCUGGCGGCGUGCAUAAUACAUGCAAGUCGAAAAAAAUUCCGUUAAUUGAUCAGGAGGUGCAUGCAAAGAAUGAGAUUUUAACACGAAGUGAGUGGCGGACGGGUGAGUAACACGUGGGUAACCUGCCCAGAAGCAGGGGAUAACACCUGGAAACAGAUGCUAAUACCGUAUAACAGAGAAAACCGCCUGGUUUUCUUUUAAAAGAUGGCUCUGCUAUCACUUCUGGAUGGACCCGCGGCGCAUUAGCUAGUUGGUGAGGUAACGGCUCACCAAGGCGAUGAUGCGUAGCCGACCUGAGAGGGUAAUCGGCCACAUUGGGACUGAGACACGGCCCAGACUCCUACGGGAGGCAGCAGUAGGGAAUCUUCCACAAUGGACGCAAGUCUGAUGGAGCAACGCCGCGUGAGUGAAGAAGGGUUUCGGCUCGUAAAGCUCUGUUGUUAAAGAAGAACGUGGGUGAGAGUAACUGUUCACCCAGUGACGGUAUAACCAGAAUGCCACAGU